rnacentral:rRNA from 1 species
UUCGGCUCGUAAAACUCUGUUAUUAGGGAAGAACAAACGUGUAAGUAACUGUGCACGUCUUGACGGUACCUAAUCAGAAAGCCACGGCUAACUACGUGCCAGCAGCCGCGGUAAUACGUAGGUGGCAAGCGUUAUCCGGAAUUAUUGGGCGUAAAGCGCGCGUAGGCGGUUUCUUAAGUCUGAUGUGAAAGCCCACGGCUCAACCGUGGAGGGUCAUUGGAAACUGGGAAACUUGAGUGCAGAAGAGGAAAGUGGAAUUCCAUGUGUAGCGGUGAAAUGCGCAGAGAUAUGGAGGAACACCAGUGGCGAAGGCGACUUUCUGGUCUGUAACUGACGCUGAUGUGCGAAAGCGUGGGGAUCAAACAGGAUUAGAUACCCUGGUAGUCCACGCCGUAAACGAUGAGUGCUAAGUGUUAGGGGGUUUCCGCCCCUUAGUGCUGCAGCUAACGCAUUAAGCACUCCGCCUGGGGAGUACGACCGCAAGGUUGAAACUCAAAGGAAUUGACGGGGACCCGCCCAAGCGGUGGAGCAUGUGGUUUAAUUCGAAGCAACGCGAAGAACCUUACCAAAUCUUGACAUCCUUUGAAAACUCUAGAGAUAGAGCCUUCCCCU